UUUACACUUAAUCAGUUUUCCCACUUUUACCUAAAUAAAAACUAGAUAGCUCCCCCCUCCUCCUCCUUCUCGUCCAUCUUCCUUUUCCAAUCCAUGUCUCUCUCUUCUUCAUUGGCUCGCCGGCCUCACUUCCAUGGUUUCUCCUCCUUCCUCUACUCAAACCCUCAGCGACAGAUCUGAUUUCAAGCCAACCGAAGUACUAUAUUUCACGUCUUUUUCAUCUUUACAUAAUCGAUCUGAUUUGCUUUACUUGCUUUCAAUUUCAGAAGGUAACUUUCUACGAUUGGUGGUUGGUCAAAUCCAAAGAGAAUGACCAAAAAGGGAGACUUGCCGUCGCCGGUGUUUCUUCUGCCCCGUUCUUGUAGUUAGACGAGACUUGAAGAUGACAACUAGAAAAAUUGCAUCUCAGUAUGCUGCAACUGGCAUGUAUGCAGAACUGAUGCAAAGGGUUCUUAUGGAUGCGUAUCAUUUGGGUAACCUCCAACCUUCAAUGUAGCAUUUAAAAAGCUCGGGCUUGACUGUGCAAACUUGACCGAACCUGUUUAUUUGGAUCUCCUAAGGUGUGAAAUGAAAGUUAUGAGCAAUUUCUUCCACAACAUGUUUUUCUUUUUCUUUUGGGAAGUUGUCAAUUUUUCUUUGCCAUUGGAAACUCCUAAAGUUGAAAACAAGACUUGCUUGAGUAUUGCCAUGUGAUAUCAAUCCCAUUUAACUUGUGGAACUUUACUCUGAAUUCAAUAUUCUUUGUGUACUAUUUUAGUGAUCAGCUUCCUGUAAGUACGAAAUUUGAUAUGAUAAGUGAUCUAGAGUGGUAAGGAAUUAUGAGAGGCUGUUGCUGGAGAUGGUUUCUGUUGUUCUUGGAGGCCUUCGUCUCCAUCUUGCUUUCUACUAUUUUCUUCCUUAAAUAAUGGUUUAUGUUUCUUAUCAGAUAAAACUCUCAGUUUACUAAUACUUCACCAAUCAUUAGUAACCAUCAUCAUAAUUAUUAUUUAUGCUAUUCAUGACUAACAGUUAGAUUUUGUCUGCAGGAAAGAUAUAAUUCCAUGGUUUCCAUGGAUGGUAAUGCAGAACUUCAAAUAUUAUCAUUCAAAGCCACUAAGAUUAGGCUUUUACGUAGCCUAUGUAUUCACACUCAAACAAUGCAGGUUCAUUCGCAGCUACACCAAGGACUGGAAAUUCAAGUUACAAGUAUUUUUAUCUUAUAACAAACUGCUACUUUUGUUUUGUAUAUGGAGAAGUAUAGGCCAUAUGUCCCCUUCUCCCUACUCUUUGUACUCUUUUUAUCAGAAAUAGUAUUAAUGAGAAUUUUCUUUUGGUUACCA